rnacentral:tRNA from 1 species
UUACACCGAGGAGAUAUCCGUGCAACUCGAAUCAUUUUGAACCUCAAAGCUAGCCUUUAAAUUAAACCUUAUAA